UUAUUGGGAUUUUUAUUGUGGAAUGUAGAUAACAUCUUUUGUGAUUCACUGAGGAACUUUCGAAAGACAGUGCCCCCUGUCCUAGGUGUUGCAACACAGUUUCAUGCAUGGUGGCAUAUUCUAACUGGCCUGGGCUCUUAUCUCCACAUCCUUUUCAGUUUAUAUACAAGAACACUUUACCUGAGGUACAGGCCAAAAGUGAAGGUAAGCGUGUUGUAAAGUAUUAAAGGGAAGGGUGGCAGUAGUCUUGAGAAGCUCAAAUGGAUGAAGAAACAACAGGAGUGCUGGAGCAGUAGAGGGGCAGCACAGACAUCAAAUCUGAAAUGUUUGUUAUCCAUUUGCUGCCCGUGAUCUUAGACAAGUCUCUUCUUUAGGCCUGAGUUACCUCAACAGAAUGGAGCUGUUAAGCACAACCUUACAGCAUUAAUUUUAGAAUUGAAGAUUAAGGGGGGUGGAGAGAUGGCUCAGCAGUUUAAAGCAUACCCUGCUCCUUCAGAGACCCAAGAUCCAUUCCAGCACUAUACCAGGUGACACACACACACGCGCGUGCACACACACACCCUCUUCUGGCUUCCACAAGCACUUCAUUAUAUACACACUCUUGUGCACACAUACUCACACAAUAAAAAUUUCUUUAAGAUUACAGACUAAAUAACUACUUCCAUGUUGGACAAAGUAGACGCUUAGUCUGUUUAAAUACGCUAAGUGGAAGUGGGCUUUGAAACCGUAUGCAAGCCAGGAAGGUGGUUGCUAUGUUCAGGGCACUAACACUAACAAGCCUAACAUUUUUUUUAGCCCAGACCCCUAGGGAUUUCUCUCCCUCAUUUUUUUCAGGCAUAGAAUAAUGUUGUUCUCUCAUUUUGUCCUCACUUGUUUCCACAGUUUCUCUUUGGAAUCUGGCCCAUGGUCAUGUUUGAACCUCAGAGGAAGCACUGAUGAAUUAAUUAUUCUACCAAGAAAACAAAAAGCACUUACUGUAUGUAGUUCUGGCAAGAUGGUCAAGACAUCUCCAAAGACUUGUGCAUUUGAAGACA
rnacentral:lncRNA from 1 species